rnacentral:rRNA from 1 species
GACGAACGCUGGCGGCAUGCCUAAUACAUGCAAGUCGAGCGAACAGAUGAAGUGCUUGCACUUCUGACGUUAGCGGCGAACGGGUGAGUAACACGUAAGGAAUCUACCUAUAAGCGGGGGAUAACAUUCGGAAACGGGUGCUAAUACCGCAUAAUAUCUUCUUCCGCAUGGAAGAAGAUUGAAAGACGGCUCUGCUGUCACUUAUAGAUGACCUUGCGGUGCAUUAGUUCGUUGGUGGGGUAAUGGCCUACCAAGACGAUGAUGCAUAGACGGCCUGGUAGGGUGAUCGGCCACAUUGGGACUGAGACACGGCCCAAACUCCUACGGGAGGCAGCAGUAGGGAAUCUUCCGCAAUGGGCGAAAGCCUGACGGAGCAAUGCCGCGUGAGUGAAGAAGGCCUUCGGGUCGUAAAACUCUGUUAUAAGAGAAGAACAAAUUGUAGAGUAACUGCUACAGUCUUGACGGUAUCUUAUCAGAAAGCCACGGCUAACUACGUGCCAGCCGCCGCGGUAA